rnacentral:rRNA from 1 species
GGGGGGGGGGGGGGGGGGGGGGGGGCGGGGGGGGGGGAGGGGGGGGGCCGGGGUGUGGGGGGUGCUCGGGUGGCGAACGGGGGGGUAACACGGGGGUGACCUGCCCUUGGCGUUGGGAUAGCUUCAGGAAACGGGGGCUACUACCGGGUAGGAGCUCCUGCUGCAGGGUGGGGGUUGGAAAGUUUCGGCGGUUGGGGAUGGACUCGCGGCUUAUCAGCUUGUUGGUGGGGUAGUGGCUUACCAAGGCUUUGACGGGUAGCCGGCCUGAGAGGGUGACCGGCCACAUUGGGACUGAGAUACGGCCCAGACUCCUACGGGAGGCAGCAGUGGGGAAUAUUGCACAAUGGGCGGAAGCCUGAUGCAGCAACGCCGCGUGCGGGAUGACGGCCUUCGGGUUGUAAACCGCUUUCGCCUGUGACGAAGCGUGAGUGACGGUAAUGGGUAAAGAAGCACCGGCUAACUACGUG